GUUUCAUUAUAAGCACAAUGAAAUUCGUCAUAUCGUGUGUAUUAACAGUGUUCGUAUCGCUGGUGUACGGUGAAAUUAAAGAUAAAGAAAUUGUUCUAAUCUCGCCCCUGUUAGCUCCUAAUGGUAGAGAAGAAAGAGCAAAAGAUUUUCCUAUACUUUUAUUAUUGUCAGAUAAAAACGUUAGUGAUAUAAAUGAGAUGAAGAGCGAUGAUUCGCAAACCAUUUACCGUGUGCAGAAGUUGGGUCAUCAAUAAGAAGAUAAACGAAGGGUAUAAUUCAUACAGAAAUGUCCCACCGAAUUAUGGUUAUGGAUCCAAAAUCGCUACAUUACACACACAUUGAUUAUAGUUCUAAGAUAAAUAAUAUAUAGUAUCAAAACAUUGAAAGAGUAGAAGGGUCAACAAUUUUCCCUUGUGAGUGAAAUCUUUGCAAGAUCAAAUUUGGCCCUUUUAGGCUGUAAACGAUUAUGAAUCUAUGGUUUUCAGCUAGAUAUUAGGCGCAAAAACAUACAAACUACGAAAAUGGUAAAACUCCUGGUUCUACAUAUUAUUUUGUAAAAUACGCAUAAAAAUAUAUUUUAAAACAUAUAAAUAUUUUGUUAAUAUAUGUUAAAUUUUUAUGUCAAGUGACACGUAAAUAGAAUAAAUACUUGUGACUGUUUUAAAAUAACCGCGCCAUCCCGUAGCCAAGCCGAUAGCCAUUAUAAUUGACUUUAUUAUUCAGAUAUAUUUGCAAAUAAUUGCUGUAUAGUAUUGUCUUUUGUUAACAUAGCUUUUACACAUUGAAAGAAAACAAUUUUUUUACCGGAUUAAAGCUAUUUAUAUUAUUAUCACCGUGACCACGCAAGCUGUAAAGCACGCGAAACGUCGGAAAAAUUUAAAUUUAAAAUUAUGUAAAAUAUUUAUAAUAAUACAAUAAUCCGGUUAAAAAAUUGUUUUCUUUCAAUGAAUGCUGUAGUUAAAUGUGCAUGGAUUUUUUGUUUAUACAACCUUCAAAAGUCUCACCAUUAUGUACUAUUAUCAAGAUUUUCUCGCCUUGAAGCUGACCCUUGAAAAUUUAUUAUUUGUAGCCUUGGAAAUGCAGGCUUCAUGCUGAGUAUGUUGUUAUGCAUAAAAUAUGUUUUGUCUUUGACUUUGUAAUCAGAAAUUUCUUUGUUUUGCUUUCAGUAAGUAAUUACGCGUGUCUUAAAUAAUAUCAUUUAAAAAAUGUUUUAAUUACUUUAAUAGAUAUAUUGUACCAAUUGAAACUUGUUGUAUGAUUAUAAUAACAAAUAACAAUGCAAUCACGAAUAACAAGUCAAUAAAUGUUAAUUAUAAGGAUAAAGUUUCAAAAUAUGUAUUUUUAUGUCUCUUAUGUUAAAACAUUAUUUUGUGGAAAUCCGUAAUGACCUUGACUAAUUUAAUCAUAAAUUAUAAUUUGAUAUCAUGAUUAAAACAUGUUAGACGAAUAAUGAAUUUGAAAAUAAACGAUUGGAGUUGUAAAAUUACAAAAAAUCCUGACCUUUAGUGUAUAUAUUAUCUAUGAAUUUGGAUUGUUGUUAGAUUUCAUAGUAUUACUCGUAUUAGCUACACUACAGACUAAACGAAGAUACUGCCUGUUAUAACGAAUCAUCUAUUAAUGAGACAAUAAUGAAUGUCACAGUAUGGCUUGUAAGUAAUUGUUUAAGUGUAAGAGACUCUUGGGCCGUGGGGUUCAAGUGCUUGUGCACUAAAAGAUUUAAGUUGGCAACUGGUCGAUAGUACCCAUGCACCCAGAGCUGAUGCUAUUAAAGGUACACUGCUACAAAGAUCAUACUUGAUCCACCAUAAUUUGUUUUAAUUUUAUAUUUAUUAAUUAUUAUUAUUACUUUAUAGGUUACCAGAGAUUUGUGUAUAGGAUAUUCAACAAUUUAAAAAUUAUAAUAAAUAAGUUGUAAAUUAAUUUUAUGUUUCUAAUCCCAAAAAAACCAUAAACACAAUUAAAUCCGUGAUCAUCUGAUAGUUGAGACGGAGAACGUAAAGUCAGGAAUUUAUAUUUACUGACUAUUUUUAAGGCGCUUUAAUGUUUAAGUCUUCGUUAACAAUGUAAUAUUAUAGCAAAUUUAAUUAUUAUGUUAUUAUCAUUAUUUUUCCAAAAGACUUUAUCAUGUGUGUAAACCGUAACGUGAUGUGUUUGCAAAUAAGUGGCAGUGCGAUUGUAAUGAUAUGCAAAAAUGUAAAUUACCUUUACCGAGAUGUAACCGGGCUUCCCACUCUACAAGCCGUGUAAUCAUAUCACUAAUUCUAUUGUGUAUAAUGUUUCAUUCAUUGUUUCUAAUGAAACAAAUGUGUUGCAAUAAAUCAAUCCUAUAAGCAUUA